rnacentral:rRNA from 1 species
UCGGGAAUUUUGGGCAAUGGGCGAAAGCCUGACCCAGCAACGCCGCGUGAGGGAUGAAGUAUUUCGGUAUGUAAACCUUGAAAGAAUGGGAAGAAUAAAUGACGGUACCAUUUAUAAGCUCCGGCUAACUACGUGCCAGCAGCCGCGGUAAUACGUAGGGAGCAAGCGUUGUUCGGAUUUACUGGGCGUAAAGGGCGCGUAGGCGGCGCGGUAAGUCACUUGUGAAAUCUCUGAGCUUAACUCAGAACGGCCAAGUAAUACUGCUGUGCUAGAGUGCGGAAGAGGCAACCGGAAUUCUUGGUGUAGCGGUGAAAUGCGUAGAUAUCAAGAGGAACACCUGAGGCGAAGGCGUGUUGCUGGGCCGACACUGACGCUGAUGCGCGAAAGCCAGGGGAGCAAACG